GUCUGCGCCCAGGGGACGCUUGCUGGGAGCAGCCAUUUUCAACCCUACUGCCGUAGAGCAGGCGGAGUCCCUCUUUUCGCGCCUUAAGACAGAAACACAAAAUGAUCCUCUGACAAGUGAUGAAGAAGAAUGGGAAGAUGUGAAAAUCCAAGCAAGAAGAACUUAGGGGAAGCAACUCAACAUCUAAGAAGAAAUGAAUAGGGAUCAGUUCCAAGAAGAGAUAAAGGGGAAAUACCCAAGAACUGGGAUGCUUCGUCUUUGGUUUCUUCUGGAUCCUCCCUAAAUUUUGGCUAAGAAAUCUGAGUCUCCAUUUAAGAGUGUUCCCAGAAAUGAUGACAUCCACAUCCAGGAACCUCCUCCUUCCUUCAUUUGAACUCUCUUGCUUCUGGGGAGCCAGGACCUAUGGAGUAAAAAUCAAGUUCAUUUGGUGACACAUUCCCUCCGGGCCCAGAUGCUGUCUCUGCUGCUGUAAACUCUCCUGCAGUCAAGGCCAAGCAAUAUAUCUAAGCAUCCCUUUGUCAGGUGUCCCCAAGUCUUUACAUCCCAGGGCAAUAAAACAACACUCUGAA
rnacentral:lncRNA from 1 species